rnacentral:rRNA from 1 species
AAAAAUGACUCUCGGCAACGGAUAUCUCGGCUCUUGCAUCGAUGAAGAACGUAGCGAAAUGCGAUACUUGGUGUGAAUUGCAGAAUCCCGUGAACCAUCGAGUCUUUGAACGCAAGUUGCGCCCGAAGCCAUUUGGUUGAGGGCACGCCUGCUUGGGUGUCGUG